rnacentral:tRNA from 1 species
UCUUAAUUUAAAAGACAGUAGNUAANCUCUACUAUUAAGGG